UCCCUAGUAGACGCGUUUUAAAACCUUGAGAGAAAGCCAAAGAGGACAAUAUCCGAUAGCAGUGGCCUUGGGCUCUUACAAAUGGUAUCAGAGCUAGACACCAGACGAUGUCCUAG